rnacentral:rRNA from 1 species
GGAAUAUUGCACAAUGGGCGAAAGCCUGAUGCAGCGACGCCGCGUGAGGGACGAAGGUCUUCGGAUUGUAAACCUCUUUCAGCAGGGACGAAGCGAAAGUGACUGUACCUGCAGAAGAAGCACCGGCUAACUACGUGCAAGCAGCCGCGGUAAUACGUAGGGUGCAAGCGUUGUCCGGAUUUAUUGGGCGUAAAGAGCUCGUAGGCGGUUCGUCACGUCGGAUGUGAAAACCUGGGGCUUAACCCCGGGCCUGCAUACGAUACGGGCGGACUAGAGUUCGGUAGGGGAGACUGGAAUUCCUGGUGUAGCGGUGAAAUGCGCAGAUAUCAGGAGGGACACCGGUGGCGAAGGCGGGUCUCUGGGCCGAUACUGACGCUGAGGAGCGAAAGC